AGCAGAAUGAAGACCUUGAAAGCCAAGAAAGGGUCCAUACCUACAGGAACAUGAUACAAUGGCUUCCCCACAGCCCAAGACUAAGCGUUUCAGAGCCAAACCAGCCCUCAGAAAAACAUGUUGAAUCACUAGGUCAGCACCAUGCUUGCUCAACCAUGGAAUCCACCAUGAAGAAGGAAGACAAAACCACUCGUGGGUCAAGGGUGACCAAGCCAGCAAGCAGGGUAUGAAGAAGCUGAUGGUCCAGGCAGUGAAAAGAAGACAUUAAACCAGCCCUGACUAGCUCAUCCUGGGGGUCAUCAACAAAGGUACUGUCAUCGCACCUGGUUGGUCCUGAAUAGAACGAAUUUUUCCCCCUGGGGAAGUAGGAGAGAGAACACCAACAUAGAUGGCCCUAGGAAGAUAACACUCAACACGCUUCACAGAUUGAAAAUUUCCCAUCUCUGGUCAAAACCAGUGGCCAGAACUCUCAGGAGGCAACAAGAAGAAACUGGCUCUCGGCUCUCUUUUGUAGAAGCACUGCUCUUUAGCAUGUGGAGAUCCCUGGACCAGAGAUCAGAUCUGAGCUGCAGUUGCAACCCAGGCCACAUCUGCAGCAAUGCUGGAUCCUCAACCCCCUGUGCUGGGCCAGGGAUCGAACCCGCAUCUCAGCUCUCCCAAGAUACCGUCAAUCCUGUUGCUCCACCUUGGGAAUUCCAACUCACGCUUCUUAAUUCUGAGUUGAAAAAGAAAUAUGAUCCAAAGUCAGUGAAAAUAGGACUUCCCCUGUGGCACAGUGGGUUAAGGAUCUGGCGUUAUCAUGGCAAAUGGCUUGGGCCACUGUGUGGUGCAGAUUCUGUUUGUCUGGGGAACUUCCACAUACCACAGGUGUGGGUUGUUUAUGGGCUGAGGGGAGCGAGGGACCAGUCAGGGGGUCUGCAAGAGGACGCCAGAGUGAUUUUCCAUGCCGACCCAGGAGGAAUCACUGUCACGGUCAUUAUAGCAGCCACCACCAGGGAACUGCUGGCAACUGCAGAGAAAGCCAUGAAACCUGGGGCUGGGACCUCAGAUGCCAGGUACCCUGAGGAAUGAUCCUUUAUUCCCCACUAGGAGAACUCUAGCCCCUUUGGCUGCUUUCUCUAGCUUGAACUUGGCAUCUGGGGCUGGCAUCCGGCGGUGGUGGACAGCAUUCCAACUCUCUGUGAUCACAGGCGUGGCACGGAAGUGGCCCAGGACUUGCAGGCAGAAAAUGACCCAAGUUAGCUGCCUUUGAGACCCACCUCUGCCAUUAAUUAGCUCUGUAUCCUAUGAUUGGUGUCUGCAUCUCUCUGAAUUAGUCUCAUUACCUAUAAAUGGCCACAAUAAUACCUAUCCUGCUGCACUGUUAUAAGGAUCAAGGAAUGUCAUGCAUGCAAAGUGCUUAAUACAGUGCCUGGCACAUAAUUUGUUCUGAAAUGGUGGCCAUUCUUAUUGUGUAGAUUUUUUUUAAAGUGCAGUUUGUGAUACAUUUUUCCUCUCCAGUGUAGAAUUUCCUACUUAAUGGAUUAUGUGCCUUUGAUGAAAGCGUCCAAUACCAACUCCAUACCAGUGUUCGCUCUAAUCAAACACCUUUGUCUUGAGCAUGGCGAAUCAGGCAACUAACUGUCACGAGUCUCUUGUUUGAUGUCAUAAGAAGGCAGGGAAAAGAUAUAGAAGCUGGAAGGACCAUGCUUACAUUAAAUGUAAAGAGAUAAGAAACUGUUAAACAGGGGAGUUCCCAUUGUGGCUCAGUUGUAAUAAACCUGACUAGUAUCCA
rnacentral:lncRNA from 1 species